rnacentral:lncRNA from 1 species
ACCCUAUCCCCAUCCAUGGCGAACCCUAAUAAUUCCCCCUCCCCUGCCACGAUUCCGCCUCUCAUUCUCCUCUCCGCAGCCGCCCCCGCCACCAUUACUCCGAUUCCUGCUCGAGCUUCGAUGUAAAUCCUCUAUUGCUCAUAAAAGUCGAGACCUUUAUCGCUCUAAGAAGUGAACUGGUGGAGUAGGAAGAGAAUGUAUUAUUCUUUGUUAUUGAUGAAUCAGAGCUUGUUCUCGCGAGAUGCGGCGCCGAGGCCUCUUCGCCCCGCCGCGGAUACCCAUCAGAGGUUAGGGUUUCUUUUUCUAUUAUUUUUUUGUUUUUUAGUAUUAUUAUUAUUUUCGCUGAAUGCCGUUUUUUGUUGAGUGUGGUGCCAUCUUUUGUAUUUAAGCUGCGAAUUUUAAGAAUAUUUUUAGAUGCGGGCGAGAGUUUUGAGUAACGAAUUUUUUUUUUUUUUUCUUUUGUCUUCUUUUUAGGGUUUCCAGAAUAUUACUGUUCUUGGUGGAAUCUUGG